UACGGAGGGUGCAAGCGUUAUCCGGAUUCACUGGGUUUAAAGGGUGCGUAGGUGGGCAGGUAAGUCAGUGGUGAAAUCUCCGGGCUUAACCCGGAAACUGCCAUUGAUACUAUCAGUCUUGAAUACCGUGGAGGUAAGCGGAAUAUGUCAGUGUAGCGGUGAAAUUGCUUAGAUAUGACAUAGAACACCAAUUGCGAAGGCAGCUUACUACCCGAAUAUUGACACUGAGGCACGAAAAGCGUGGGGGAUCAAACAGG
rnacentral:rRNA from 1 species